CGCAGCCGAAUUGUGUUGGGAGAUUUGCUCCGUGAUCGCAGGCGGAGCCUAGGCAUGAGGUGGAUGUCUCGGGCGGCGCAUCCCGCCCCUCCCCGGCUCUUUCAGAGAGAAGCAGAAAGAUUUUCUGUCCCACUGGAUAGACCCACCCAGAGCCGAGCCGUGGAAUUGCCUCCUUGUAAGGAGUGAUCUUAGUUCCCAACCCAGGUAAUUGUCACUGAGACUGAAAGUAUUGCACAUAUUGAGCUCCAACUGAAUGCAUUUCACCCUAUAAUAAUAAUUCAACCUGAAAAACCAAGGAAAUGUCUACCA